rnacentral:rRNA from 1 species
CCUACGGGAGGCAGCAGUGAGGAAUAUUGGUCAAUGGACGAGAGUCUGAACCAGCCAAGUAGCGUGAAGGAUGACUGCCCUAUGGGUUGUAAACUUCUUUUAUAUGGGAAUAAAAUGUUCCACGUGUGGGAUUUUGUAUGUACCAUAUGAAUAAGGAUCGACUAACUCCGUGCCAGCAGCCGCGGUAAUACGGAGGAUCCGAGCGUUAUCCGGAUUUAUUGGGUUUAAAGGGAGCGUAGGUGGAUUGUUAAGUCAGUUGUGAAAGUUUGCGGCUCAACCGUAAAAUUGCAGUUGAAACUGGCAGUCUUGAGUAUAGUAGAGGUGGGCGGAAUUCGUGGUGUAGCGGUGAAAUGCUUAGAUAUCACGAAGAACUCCGAUUGCGAAGGCAGUUCACUGGACUGCAACUGACACUGAGGCUCGAAAGUGUGGGUAUCAAACAGGAUUAGAUACCCGUGUAGUC